rnacentral:rRNA from 1 species
GACGAACGCUGGCGGCGUGCCUAAUACAUGCAAGUCGACCUUAGUUGCGAACGGGUGAGUACCACGUGGGUAACCUGCCCAUCCGAAGGGGAUCACACUUGGCAACAGGUUCUCAUACCGUAAACUGCUGGAUGGACCGGCGGUGCAUGAGCUAGUUGGUGAGGUAAAGGCUCCCCAAGGCAACGAUGCAUAGCCGAACUGAGAGGGUGAUCGGCCACAUUGGGACUGAGACACGGCCCAAACGCCUACGGGAGGCAGCAGUAGGGAAUCUUCGGCAAUGGACGAAAGUCUGACCGAGCAACGCCGCGUGAGUGAAGAAGGUUUUCGGAUCGUAAACCUCUGUUGUUAGAGAAGCGGUAUCUAACCAGAAAGCCACGGCUAACUACGUGCCAGCAGCCGCGGUAAUAC